AGAGUUUGAUCAUGGCUCAGAACGAACGUUAGCGGCGCGCUUAAUACAUGCAAGUCGAGCGAGAAAGGGCUUCGGCCCCAGUAAAGCGGCGCACGGGUGAGUAACACGUAGGUGAUCUACCCUCGGGUGGUGGAUAACAUCCCGAAAGGGGUGCUAAUACAGCAUGACACCGCGGUGUUUUACAUCGCGGUCAAAGUGGGCCUCUCUAUAGAAGCUCACGCCUGAGGACGAGCCUGCGGCGCAUCAGCUAGUUGGUGAGGUAAUGGCUCACCAAGGCUAAGACGCGUAGCUGGUCUGAGAGGAUGAACAGCCACACUGGAACUGAGACACGGUCCAGACUCCUACGGGAGGCAGCAGUAGGGAAUCUUGCGCAAUGGGCGAAAGCCUGACGCAGCGACGCCGCGUGAGUGAUGAAGGCCUUCGGGUUGUAAAGCUCUGUGGAGAGGGAAGAAUAAGUGCAGGUUAACACCCUGCAUGAUGACGGUAUCUCUUUAGCAAGCACCGGCUAACUCUGUGCCAGCAGCCGCGGUAAGACAGAGGGUGCAAACGUUGUUCGGAAUCACUGGGCGUAAAGCGCGUGUAGGCGGCUUGGCAAGUCGGAUGUGAAAGCCCAGGGCUCAACCCUGGAAGUGCACUCGAAACUGCUUCGCUAGAGUCCUGGAGAGGAAGGCGGAAUACUUGGUGUAGAGGUGAAAUUCGUAGAUAUCAAGUAGAACACCGGUGGCGAAGGCGGCCUUCUGGACAGUGACUGACGCUGAGACGCGAAAGCGUGGGGAGCAAACAGGAUUAGAUACCCUAGUAGUCC
rnacentral:rRNA from 1 species